GCCUGGGUGGCUCAGUCGGUUGAGCGUCCGACUUCGGCUCAGGACAUGAUCUCACAGUGUGUGAGUUCAAGCCCCGCACUGGGCU
rnacentral:tRNA from 1 species